UGUAGUCCAAGCUCUGAGAAUGAAUCCAGAGAACAUAACAGCCGUUUAUUCCCAGCUGUUACCUCCUUCAUCCAGCCCUGAAGUUGUGUGCUUAUUAUGUCUACAUUAGCAGAUGCUAGUAUUUGCCUUCAUACUGUUAAAAGCUUCGGUGGCUGAUGCAUGCAAAUCAAGGUGCAUUCAAAACCAAGUCUGACCUUUUUAGCUUCUGGUCAUUGGCCACCAUUGCUUCUACAUUGCAGGGAUACAGAGGCUACUCUGUUGUUGAGGAAAGUCUGCUCUCCUUGUCUUAGAGAUGAAUUUUAAAACUUCAAGGCUGCAUUUCAGAGGAAGGAACUGGAAAAACCACUCUAAGGACACAUGGUCAACAGAUGAUCUGAAGACACAUACACAAACAUGGAAGGUGAAGCAUCAAUUUCUUUAUCAAACAAGAAUGUUUAGAAAAUGGCAAAAGAAAAUAGCUUCAGACAGGCUUAAGUACCAUACCGCCAUACCUACAAUUCUGUAGAACAGAUUGCAAUUUCAAUUUUUGUAUUCCUUGGUUUUACUUUUUUUUUAAUGACAUUAAAAAGUUGUCCAGAAAAGGUGUUAGAUCAAUGAAGAGAUAACCAUUUCAGAAAGGAAAUAUACCUAAAUGUUAUUGUAACCCUCUUCCAGGCAGAUGGGACAUUUGAAUUCUCCAUAUUAUUGCAGUUCAUACAGAACUACAUUUUACCACAUUGUGGCCCAAAGAGUCGAGUCUCAUCAUUUUUGGUAACUGAGGUCCCAUAUAUCAAAUGUCUAUUGCCUACACUGCUUCCCCACCCCUUAAACAAAACAAAAAACCUGGCAAGCUACUCAGAAUAUUCUACUCCAUGUGAUAUUGUGGCAUGACCUUGAUUCUAUAACUCAUGGAUAUCUUUAUAGCCACAAUCUUCUGGAAGUCUUAUUAGGCCAGAAAAAAAUCAAACUUAAAACACUCUGUCUGGAUGAGAAUUAAAUAUCUUUUCUAUUACUUCUGAAAGACAAUGUAUUUUCUUUAGCUACUUGUGUUCCCUGACCUAACUACUUAAAUUACUUUGUGUGCCCCCUUAGGUUAAAAAUGUGGGUCUAGAACUACUAAAAUUUGCGUCAAGUCCAUGUAAGAAAGCAAACUGCAAAGCGAAUGAAUGCAAGUCUAAAUUGUAUCACAUAAUGCCAUUAUUUCUUACAUAAAAUCAAGAGGGAGCCAACUGGACAAACAAAAGCUUUCAGAAAGGGAGAGCCUAGCUUGUCUACUUAGUACAGCAUAUGGCACUGUGAACAUUAU
rnacentral:lncRNA from 1 species